GGCCUCGUAGCUCAGUUGGCUAAUUGGCUGUACUAAAACCUUCCCCUUGCUGGCGUGGGUUCGAAUCCCACCGAGGCUG
rnacentral:tRNA from 1 species